GUAAUCAAGGAGUAUUGCAGAAAUGGCGAAGAAGCAAAAGGUGUCUGAAUUCGAUGAUGUGCAUGUAAGUGAUGACAAUGAAGAAUCUAGUACCGAGGAUCUUCAUUCAGACGGGGAAAGAGAGGUAAUAGGGAAGAAAUCUGGAAGAGCGUAUAAAGAAAUAGAAGUACGAGUGUAUCGGG